rnacentral:rRNA from 1 species
CCUACGGGUGGCUGCAGUGGGGAAUAUUGCGCAAUGGGCGCAAGCCUGACGCAGCGACGCCGCGUGAAGGAUGAAGGCUUUCGGAUUGUAAACUUCUUUUAAGAGGGAAGAGCGGAAGACGGUACCUCUUGAAUAAGCCACGGCUAACUACGUGCCAGCAGCCGCGGUAAUACGGAGGUGGCAAGCGUUGUCCGGAUGUACUGGGGGUAAAGGGCGGGCAGCCGGGAAGACAAGUCAGAUGUGAAAUCCCGCGGCUCAACCGCGGAACUGCAUUUGAAACUGUUUUUCUUGAGUACCGGAGAGGUCAGCGGAAUUCCUGGUGUAGCGGUGAAAUGCGUAGAUAUAAGGAAGAACAUCAGUGGCGAAGGCGGAUGACUGGACGGCAACUGACGGUGAGGAGCGAAAGCGUGGGGAGCAAACAGGAUUAGAUACCCGGGUAGUC